GCUCGGCCAGAGGAGGAAUGGCAGCCUGGACAGGGCCGUAACCUGUGGAAGUGAAACCCAGAUUUUUCUCCAUCCUCAAUCCAGCAGCCGUGCUAUGGAUUGGUGGAAAAAGAAGGCGAUAAGAGCUAAAAUCAGAUAUGCAAUCCGUGUUUCAUGUGUACUGCCAAAAAGGGCUCUGAUACUGCAAGCCCGAGAGGUUACUCCUUGGC